rnacentral:rRNA from 1 species
UACGUAGGCAGCGAGCGUUGUUCGGAAUUAUUGGGCGUAAAGAGCUCGUAGGCGGCCUGUUGCGUCCGCUGUGAAAUCCCGGGGCUUAACCCCGGGCGUGCAGUGGAUACGGGCUGGCUGGAGGCAGGCAGGGGAGAACGGAAUUCCCGGUGUAGCGGUGAAAUGCGCAGAUAUCAGGAAGAACACCGGUGGCGAAGGCGGGUCUCUGGGCCGAUACUGACGCUGAGGAGCGAAAGCGUGGGGAGCAAACAGG